rnacentral:rRNA from 1 species
UGGGGAAUAUUGGACAAUGGGCGCAAGCCUGAUCCAGCAACGCCGCGUGGAGGACGAAGGUCUUCGGAUCGUAAACUCCUGUCAGGCGGGACGAAGGGACUUUGGUGAACAGCCGGAGUUCUUGACGGUACCGCCAGAGGAAGCCCCGGCUAACUCCGUGCCAGCAGCCGCGGUAAUACGGAGGGGGCGAGCGUUAUUCGGAAUUAUUGGGCGUAAAGGGCGCGUAGGCGGCAUGGUAAGUCAAAGGUGAAAUCCCUCGGCUCAACUGAGGAAUUGCCUUUGAAACUGCCAAGCUUGAGGCCGGGAGGGGGUAGCGGAAUUCCCAGUGUAGCGGUGAAAUGCGUAGAUACUGGGAGGAACACCGGUGGCGAAGGCGGCUACCUGGACCGGAUCUGACGCUGAUGCGCGAAAGCGUGGGGAGCAAACAGG